GACGGUGCCGCUGCCCCUUCCCGGCGCGGCCUCUCCUCCCUGCGCCGCCACUGCCGCCGCCUCAGCCGGCGGGCGGGAGAAGGCGGACAGAGGUGGCCGCCAUGGCGCUGCCGGUGCUGUCGAGCUCGGGGGUGAAAUUCCGGCGGGUCCUGGCGCACUUCCCCCAGGAGCUCAGCCUGGCCUUCGCCUACGGCUCCGGCGUCUUUCGGCAGGCGGGGCCCUCGGCCGGGCACAGCGAGAACAAUAUGCUGGACUUUGUGUUUGCAGUUGAUGAUUCGGUGACCUGGCAUAUGAUGAACUUAUUAAAGAACAAGAGUCAUUAUUCCUUCCUAAAAGUUUUUGGGCCAAAACAGAUAAGUAACAUACAGAGCUAUGGAGCAGGGAUUUACUACAACACUUUAGUGCCAUGUAAUGGUAGGAUGAUAAAAUAUGGUGUAAUUAGCACUGAUGCCCUGAUUGAUGAUUUACUUCACUGGAAAACCCUCUAUGUUGCUGGACGCCUACAAAAGCCGGUGAAAAUACUGACACAGAAUGAGAAUGGCAAGCUGCAAGCUGCGCUUGUUAGCAAUCUGAAGAGUGCAGUCACAGCAGCCUUUCUCAUGUUACCAGAAAGUUUCUCUGAAGAAGACCUCUAUAUGCAGAUUGCAGGACUCUCCUAUUCUGGUGACUUCAGAAUGAUCAUAGGAGAAGACAGAUCGAAAGUGCAGAACAUUGUGAAACCUAAUGUUCCCUAUUUUCAGAAGCUGUACAGUAACAUAUUGCAGGACUGCCCUCAAGUGGUGUAUAAGCACCAUCUGGGAAGGCUAGAGAUUGAUAAAAGCCCAGAAGGUCAAUUCACACAACUCAUGGCUUUGCCAAAGAAUCUGCAACAAAAGAUAACUUCUCUGGUAGACCCUCCUGGAAAAAACAGAGAUGUGGAAGAAAUUUUACUGCAAGUUGCGCAUGACCCUGAUUGUGGAUUAGUGGUGCAUCAAGGCAUUUCAGGAAUUGUGAGAUCUUCUAGUAUAGUGCAAAGUGCUAAAACCAUACUAACAGCUGGGGCAAAAAAAUCUGUGACUUACAGUGUAAAGAAAUUGUAUAAAAUGACAAAGGGAUGGUUAAAGAAGACAUCUUGAGUCUUGACACACUGUGUGUGGAGGAACAGCAUGAGAGAAUUCAGGAGGGAGUCAAGGCCUUUUUUGAAUGAAGUAGCUACCAAGUAAGAAGUGCAAUGCUGUCAGAACUUCUGGAUAGAGGCAUCUAAUGAGGACCCAAGCUUUCCUAGCUGCAGUACAGAAAUGUACAAAGUGAAAGAAAAAACAAAGGAGCAUCUGUAGCACACAAGUAAAGCAGAAGCUGGACCACAGAAAGAAUAAGCAAUAUGACCAAAUUCAAAAGCUGUCAGUGACAAAACUAGAUGCUUUUACCUUUAACGUGCUCAUUCCUUCCUUCUGUAAUGGUACAAUUUCAUCAAGUUUUACAUCACCGGCCAAAUUGGGAAGUAUUGUCAUUGGACAAAACAUUCCUGACUGUUUUUUUUCUUUUUCUCCAUGAGAAUGCAAGGAUGGGGCUUUUUAAAACCUGGUUAAAAAACAGUACCACAGGAUGUGAAACCACUUGCUCAUAAAUUAUAAUUGCUUCAAGCACUGGUUGAGAGAGAUCAUGUGUCAUAAGAUUGCCCAACAUCUGGUCGAGAAUUCUUACUAGCAGAGCAUUUAGUCACAUGCUUGACUUAAAAUGCAUACAUACCUACCAUUGCUAAAUAGGUAUUUAAUUUCCUUUUUGAGACUUUACAGAAACAUACUUGAAUAUACAGAAGGAAAAAAAAAUAAAAAUAAAAAUCUGUGUGAUGUAUCAAUACAGUUGGAUGUUCCCGAACCCUUUGGGAUAUGGCUGCAGUGUGAAGGCUGAGUUUUAACGGCUUGUUCACUUCCAUGGAUUUUGAGGUUGUGGCUGUUUCUCCUUUAUCAAGAUAGGGUACCUUAGAGAGGUAUGUACCUGAGAUUUAAAUAGAAAAUCCUAUGAGGGUAUCUUGCAUCCUAAGAGGCUCAGUACUUCUAAAACACUGUUAAUUUUCUCAUUACUGCUAAGCUUGGGGAUAAGCAGCAGCUAAAUGUAGAGUUGUAACAGCAUUUCAUCGUUUAAAAAAUUCUAUGGAAGCAUGUCAGAGAACAGCUUUCCUUUAAAACCAUCCACAACACAAAUAUUAUGCUUUGAAUAUCAGAUGAAUUUAAAAGUUGUUAUGGUGUUUCAGAAGGCGCCUGCUACCGAAAUGGUGGUUCGGACAUUCCAAGUCAAUUACAGGUCAGUCUGAUAGGUGAGAGUGAGUUGACCUCAGCGGCUGUAGUGCAACAGAGCUAUCUUGAUUCGGAACCUUGCUAGCUAAGCAAGGGCAUUUAAACAAGAAAUAAUAUUCUCUUAGAAAAAAUGAAUGUGCUGCUUGCCAUUCAGCAGUUAAUUAAACGUUAUGUGCAACAGAUGCUGUACAGCAUCAGACCCUCACAACCUUUACACUGCUUGUUGCAGUGCCGGCAGAUUGGUGUUACUGUACAGGUGUUACUUUACUGCAGAGCUUGCCUGUAAUCUGAGCUGGCUGUGUUUGUCUUACGGGGAUGAAAUACCCACUGCCUAUCUUGAUUUGGCUUUGUGAACCUUCUUUGUGUGCAGCAAUAUAAUUGGUCAUUUCAUGCUCUUUGGAGAGAGUUUUGCAAAUCCCAGUUUAAUAGUUGCUAGUUUACUCCAUCUGUUGAUACACUGCCAGUAUUCAAGUCUCUGCAGUAAAUCUUUGCGAGACUUAAAGUUCUUCCUCAUCAUCCAUAUAGGCUGAAAUCUUAAACUGUAUUCUGUUCUGUAAAUCAUUUAUCUCUGUGCUUUUUAAAAAGUGGCCUACCUUUCCCCUUGAGGCCAUUGGUCUUGAAUGUAUUUAUUUUUUUGGCAGAGAGCCAUGAAUGAAUCAUAGCCUAGAGCAGUUUACAGUCUGAACUCCUCUCUAUUGUUAAUAUAAAAUACUUUAUGCAGUUGUUACAACGUUUUGCUAUGUAAAACUUUUAAGAGAAGAGAUUGAUUUCAGACAUGCUAGUUGCUUUUGAAGUUCCCCAACAGUAUGUGGAAAUGAUUUCUUAUGGUCGUACAGCUGUAAUCCACUAAAAUAACUAGUGAUUGUUGCAUGGGAAGUUCGUACAUGAGAAUGGUACUGACUCUUUGUUGCAGUGAAGUGUGUUUGUUCUUCCACAAAAAAUAGUCACAUUAGCUUUUCAUUCCAUUUGUAACUUUCCUGCUUAUACCUUCCUGCUCAAUUUUCAAACUGCUUUGUUUUAUUGUUUCUCUUGAUUUAAUUCACAAAUCUUUUACUCAGUUGUUCAGACAUCCCUUUUCUCUGGUUUGGCUAUUCCACUGUGGAUAUUGUUUCAUCUCCAUCCCCUUUCUUUCUAUGUACCAGUACUUUAAUGAAAGGUAACCGAGGAUGUCUUGAUUUUUAAAAGGAUUCUUUGCAAUGAAGAGCCUGGACCCAAUCAAAGUACGAAGGAUUUCCAAAGAUGAGUUGGCACCGCUGGCCUAGCUGGCACUGAGGUUGACAGUGCCAGUGAGGUAUAACUGUCUCAUGCUUCAGAAGGAAUAAACUACACGACACAGGAUAAAUCAAAGUUUAUCUGGUUACAUAAUCCAGAGAUUUUGGUUUCUACUUCUGCUUACAGUCUUUAAUCUUGAUAUUGAGUUCAUUUAUUAACUUGCCUGUAGUUGUAAGCAACCCAUUUGACUACGCAUUAAGAGGUUUGGCAGCUUCUACAGUUAAAAUCUGGGGAGUGCAUAAAACUGGCUGUGCCACACAAGAUAACUUCUUCCAUCAAUACAUGCAAGGUGUGUUCUUUAUCACGUGCUUAUAUCCCCAUUCCAAGUAUUUGACUAGUGAGUUCCUCCAGGUGGCUGGCUGUAUGACCCGUCAAAUACCAGCUAUACUGAAUGCACCCGACUUUGUUUUAAGCGUGGAGAUGGUGUUUCUCACCUGUGCUUCAGUGUGAUUUCUCUCUAGCUUUGGUUCACCUUGUGUGUGAGUGAAUGUGACUAGCAGAUGGAGUGCAACAGCUGCAACCUUAUCAUAAACAAGGUGCCUCUAGGUAGCACGCAGUGAACAGGUGUGACUCGUUUCUGUUACAGAGCUGGACUCUUACAGUAUCCCACUGCUUUCAUCAGAACAAACAUCUCUGCCAGGCUGGGGAGAUACGCCUGUGUAGUACUCCACACGGUAUUCCGGUGUAGGGAAAUGAACUGUGAGGUCCAUGUUUUUUUUUUUGUUUUUUUUUUUUUUGUUUUUUUUUUUAAGUGAUUGAAGAGGUAAUGCUAGAGCCCGUUCUGCCUUGGGAGACUUUAGAACAAACAUAGCACUUGGUGAGUAUCCAGUAGGGGGGGAUCCAACCAGGGUUGUGACUCAUGCCUUUUCCCAGCAAUUAAUUUAAAAAUAGAAUUGAAAUAUGCUUUGAAGGUCAGAAUGUCAGGUCAGUGUGUGUGUCUGACGGUUUUUAAUGGGUAAGGUGUUCACAGAGGACAAAACAUUCUUCAUUUCCAAGGUCACUUCUGCUGGGCAUAUAUUCUGAAUGCGUAGACAAUUAAUUGCCUUUGUAUUAUGUACUGAAGGAGGGAGAGACGUUACCUUUGUGUAGCUAUUUUCUAGUAUGUAUUUUGGUUUGAGUAAACAGCUGCUCUCUACAAAAUUUUAUGAAAGCAGAGUGUUGAAUGACCUUACUUACCUGUGUGCUUUAGAUUUUCAUCUAGAGACUGUUGUUAACUGAUCCUGAACUUAAUAGCUUCUUUAGGAAAGAGGCUCUAAGCAUUUUACUCCUGCAUCUUUUAACAUCUUAGUUAGACUUGAUCAGUUUUUUAAUGUCUAAUUUCACAAGUUUUAGUAUAUGACCGUGAAGCUUCAGACUAUACAUUCUGAAAUUAUUCGUAUGAAAACAGAUACUUAUUACAUCUCUAGGUUUAGUCUGAGAACUUAGGUGUCAUUUGUACCUUCAGAAUCCAGCAUUCCACCAAAACCUUUUCAUCCGUGGUGGGUAACUAUUUUGGCAACCAAGCAUGUUCUGAGAAAAUGGAGGUCAUGCAGCUGCAAAGACCGAUAUUCUGAUUUUGAAACUUUGUGUAAAUGUAAUGGUUUUAGAGGGUUCUUCCUGCUUUUAAAUUUGAAUAGAAUCUGAUUGUUAGCAGUUGCAAUCAUAAGGGAUUGUCUUAAAACAUAUAUAAAUAAAUAAUUUGGAUAUAACGCUA